UUGGUGUUCCUAUCUUUAUUUCUCUCUCCUCUGUUUUAUUCCGACAAUCUGUUGCCCCAAUUAUCUACAACAUGAAAUCCAAUUUUGCUCUUUGUUGCUGAAUCAAAGUUGUAGAUCACUUUGAGCUUAUGAAUUUGGGCACAAAAAUCACUUGAUUUGGAGUUCGGAGCUAUGAGUUAUGGUCUUUGUAAGUUUGGUGUUCCUAUCUUCAUUUCUCUCUCCUCUGUUUUACUCCGACAAUCUGUUUCCUCAAUUAUCUACAAAAUGCAGUCCAAUUUUGCUAUUUUUUGCUGAAUGAAAGUUGUAGAUCACUUCGAGCUAAUGAAUUUGGGCACAAAAAUCGCUCAAUUCGGAGUUCGGAACUAGGAGUUACACCUCACACAAGUUCAGCACUGCUGCUGUACCUUGUGUUGCGCUGCUGUCGUGGUUGGCUUGUUUGCCCAUGUUGUCAUUGCUAACUUGUUGCCUUGUUACUGCCAUUGUUGGUAUUCCUUUCCAUAUGAAGGUAUAAGCUAAUUUUUCUUAAUUCCUUCGAUUCCAAUUCAAGUGUGGUGCAAUUGGAUUUUAUCUUAUGAUUUUAGAAAUAAACUUGGUUCUAAAUUUUGUUAUUGAUUAGCAAAUAUAGUUAUGAUAAGAGUUGUUAAACUUAAAGAUUGAAUAUUUUAUCUUUCUUAUUGGAUUGAAGCUUCUAAUAUGAAGUAAGCCACUUAAGUAAGUUUAUAAAAACUGAUUUUUAUAAAUUAUGUUGUUUGAUAAUACUCUUUGAAAUCAGAAUGAUGUUAAAUAGAGAUGGAAUUGAUGUUGUGAGUUGGAUUAGUAGAAUGGGUUAUAUAUAAGAGUUGUGGUGGUUAGUUCAUGGAAGAGCUUAGAAAGUAUGAGUAAUUCAAUUUGUUUAUCUAAUUGGUAGUAAGGAUGUUAAUUGUUGUUCAUAUUAUUGUGAGGUGAUUGUUGGAGAUUGAUAAAGAAUUUAGAGAUGUCGGAUCUUGAAGAAUUAUUAUGGAAUUGAGCAUUCCUUGGGGAAAAUGAAGGAGGGUUCAUUGUUAGUGAUUUUGCAGGGUUGAUGUCGAGGUCGUGGAAUAUGAUUAUUGAUCAAGAAAAGAGUUUUAUGUUAUGAAAUGGUGGCUGAGGUUAAAGUUAGAUGUUUUGUUUCAAAGUAUUUGUAAUCUGUUAUUUGAUUUUCAAGUUGUUAUAUUGUGGGCCCGACCCACAGAUCCAGGAUCGUUUUUAUAGGUUUAGUUUCCGCUGUAAAUAAAUGCAAAUUCGAGGUUUGUUAAGUGUUGAUUUUGUUUUGUGUA